CGCCUUCACCAUCCAAGCGAGCAGACUCCGACGAACCACCACAGCAUCCAUUCCCUCUCCCUCUCCGACUUCCUCUACCUCUCAGGCUUCCCAUCUCCCUAUCUCGCGAACCCUCGCCCGUUACUCUCCUCGUCUUUCAGCGGCGCUUCCGUGCUGCUGUCCGGGCCGUGCCCCGUCACCAAUCCUUGCCGUCGACCUUGCCCCCAAGGACUAUCCGCGCCCAACUCGCUUAUCGCCUGCGAUGCUGUCUGCAGUCUCCUCCCCUCGCCUCGUCAUCUCCAUGUUGCUGACCACGCGUGCCCCGACGCCGACCUCACCACCAACACCAAGGAUGCCGUUAACCUUGCUCCCAAGGACGGCCCCGUGCCGAGCUCACUCCCAAGUUGCAAAACGGUGUUGCUGAUUAGUCUGAACCCGAGGAGAGUACUACUGUACUAGCAAAAUGAUUUGAGGAACAUUUACAGGGAAAGGUGAUUAUGACGCUUUGUAAUCUCUUCACAGCCUACAUUUUGAUAUGUUACCUUUGAUAGUUUGAUGUAGAGUGAUUCAUUGGAUAGAUUAUGAGCAUCUGUGUAACUAAUUUUGCUAUAGAAUCUUCAGUAAUUAUGCCAUCUUCAUGUUUUCUCUUUUGCAUCUGCAGACCUACUCAACACUUGUGCUGUUACAACUAGUUUUCCAAAGUCUAGUGCGUGAGUAUUACAAGAAUAUGUGUGUGUGGGAUUUACACAACCUUUAUAUGUCUUUUGAACUUACAAAAGAAGAUUAGCAUUAUCAUUUAACUUUUUAAAGUAAACUGAAGUUUAGUGCGUGAGUAAUACUAGAAUAUUUGUACUACUAUAUUUCGUUGCUAUAAGUUAUAAUAAUAUUGACUCCA